CGUGGCAUCCAUAGCGGCGUCGGGGAGGCAACAGGCAGGCAGGAGGUGGUGUUGCGCGUGCGUGCGCGCCGCGGGCACACGCCCCUGUCCUACUGUCCAGAGGAGGAAGACGACAGGGAGGGCGCUGGUGGGCUGGGCCGGCCGGUUACAGUGCUGGGCCAAGGUAAGUGGCCAGGUACUAUCUCUCUCUCUCUCUCUUUUUUUGAUUUUUUGUUUUUCUAUUUUUCUGUAACUUCUGGGCUUUAUUAAAAAUACUAGAAUGUUUCCAAAAAUCCUGAAAAUAAUUGUGGGCUCUGUUUGGAUUAUUCCUAACAGCCCUCACUUAAGUUCAGAAUUAAUUGAGCACUUAAAAUAAUAUAUAGCAUUUAAAUGCCAAAUUGCAAAUACUGUAUGAGUUCAUUCAAAACUCCAAAUUGAUCUAGAAAAAUGUGCACCAUUUUUGUCAGAGGUUCUGGACCAAUUCAGAAAUGAUGAACAUUUCUAAAGAGCAUUUUGGGUUCAUUGAAAAGAUUUAAGUUUGAACCUAGUGAUUUAAGUUUAAACCUAGUUGAGUUUCAUUUGCUGCUAGGGUUUAUCAGUCCCCAUUUCAAAUUAAAGAAGUAAUUUAGACAUGAUGCAUGGAUGCUUGUGCCACUAAUUGCAAACAAUGCUAGGGCUGUGACAACUCACCCCCACUAAACAAGAAUCUCGUCCCGAGAUUCGAGACGUGAGGUAAGAAGACAGAGGGGAUGCAAAGCAAACACGAUCUUCAUGAUCCAACUGUCCUUCUCGAAGAUGUUGAUUCAUUGCAUCAUCUUGAUCUCGACGUCUUGUUUUGAGAACUUCAUCCAACAUGACAACGAGAAGAAAGGAGAAUUUUAGAAGAAUCGAUCUUCUUGAGGUUCGAGCAACUUAGGAUCAUAUUAACGAUCACAAGAUCAACUCACGGAAUGAGACGUUGAAACAUAUCUUGAGCUGAGACACAAAACGCACAUUAAGAGGGAUGGAAGAAAGAGAUGACGGAGGUUCAAUUUGGUGGGCAACAAUCUCACGCUGGAGUAGGAUGGUGCAUGGUUCCAAAGUAGCGAGGAGUUAAUUGCCACGAUUGCAUAACGGGGCACCUUAGGGAAGGUGGCUCGUAGAAAUAUUCCCUUAAGUGGCAAAAAGAAUUACUUUUAAUUUAGAGAUCAUUGAGACUUUUUAUACCAACCUAAGGCAAUCACAAUCGAUCAUUUGAAGGAGUUCGAAGAAAUGGCAUGCUCAGACUAGAAUGGAUGAUGUGGACUACCUUGCUGAAUGUAGCACAAUGGAUGAUUUUUGCUUAUCAUCGGAAAUGGAUGGGACCCAUGGUAGGACCACAUUUGGAGAUGAUCCUGAAUAGUAAUUACUGAGAAGGGCAGCCCAUGGGAGAUUGGUACAAUGGCGAUGCAAGCUCAGAAAAAAAUGCAAAUACUGGGAAUGUUCGAAACAUCAUAUCUACCCGAGAUUCAGAUCUGGUUACUAACAGGAUACUUCAGACUCAACAUGUCUGCAAAAGAAAGUUUGCAACACAAUUCGAUGAGAUGACGUUGCGAGAUUCUCGGGGGAUGAACUACGGAAGCAAGCUCCAAAACAUGAGCUGGUUCUGGUACACACCUGUGAACGCGCUGUCCAAGACAAGCAUGACCACGUAGUAGUCUUAGAACAAAACACUACCGAGUUUUGGUUGGGAACCAUCGUCGAGGAUAUCGGAGUCUUGUGCAUGAUCUAGAAUUAACACAACAGACUCCUUUUCCUUGAGCAAAUCAAUCAGUGGCUUGAUGUGCUAGGGAAUACAUAUGGAGUGGAGGUAAUUAAUCUACCAAACCAUAGAAUACAUUCGCACAUGCAUAACUGACUUGGGAUGGUACCAGAGGAAACAAAAACAAUCUUUCUCAAACUCACGGCGGCAACUUGCACCAAAUGCACAUGAAUUCGAGGAAGUCACUUCUUCCAUCCAAGCAUAAGCUUCAUGAACGGAACACGAAGGCAUUGCUUACAAAGUUUUCAACACUAGGUUGAUGUUCAACAUGAAUCAUGGGGGAGACAAAAUGCUGCUGAUGGGCUCAACAGCAACUCAUCGGAAUUUCCAUAUCACUGGACUUCCACCAUCAUGUGAACACGGUGAUAGCAUUGGUCAGACCAAAAGAUGUAAUGGUGUAUGCUCGAGGGAUCAACCACGAGUAAGACAACAUUACGAACAUCGUUGGUUCUGAUUUAACUUGACGAUAGCCCAUACUCAAGUCAAAGUUUUGACAAGGCAAUAUAUCCAACAACUGAUCACGAGGAACAAUCGAUGGAGAUAUCAUCUUUCUUGAACACACACACACACAAAGAUAUCCCUUAACAUGAACUAAGUCAGACAAGCUUUUAUCUUCCAACUCUCCAAGUUGUUGUUUGGCUUAACCAACUAGCUCAGGGGUAUCCCACACAGAUUCUUGGAGAAUGGGUGGUUUGGAGGAAAACCAACAUGAUCCCGAACUCAACAUAGCGGUCAGGUGACAACCUAGUAAUACUUCCGAGAAGAUAUUCGGAACAUCACGAACCACCGAUAUGUUACUAAGCUCGAGAACAAUCUUGCUUUUCAGAGCAAGACGAUAUGAUCAAAUAAGCAAGGGAUUGAAUAAUCCUAACUCAUUGAUCGAAGAGUGCACCAGAAAUAAGGACUAGGUAGCACAAUCUAUCUUAGAAUGAUGAUUCAAUAACCAACACGCUAAGAAUGAGAAUAUUGUCCAUUUACUACCAAGCAACUAGUUGCUAGGAGUACUGAUUUCACACAUCACGGUUCACUUGUCGGUAUUCCGGUUGCAACAACACAGAACCGAGGAGCAAAUGAUGAUGGCGAGAAGUAUCACUACGUCAAGAAUUCAUAAGAGAAGGUGCAAUUCUCAUGACAUUCCUGACAUAAAGUGGGUAAUACUUCAGGGUAGAACAGAAUCAAAAGCUGGAUUGGCAUUUGAUCCGCGGAAUACAACUGCUUUGACCCAAUUCUAGAUAUGGAUGAGGUACUGGAGUUUGUUUCUCCUACUCAUUCCGAAAUAGAAUGGCUUGACGGACUACAAGAGUAAUAGGUAUUGAUGAACGAAUGCACACAUACUCUUGACUAUCACAUGAUAGACGAGGGUCAGAAUGCAACUAAAGAGGGACAACUCAAAGGAACAUAUAACUUUCUGAGUUGUGGAUGCAUAGAUUAGUAUGUCGAACCAAGUUCAACAGGUUUCUUCCGGAUAACCCAUGCAGAGAAGGUAGAACUAACAGAGUCACAACAUAGAAUUGAGAACUCGUAAAGAGCACUCUGGUUGUGAUCUUUUGGUUCAAAGAACUUCUGCCAUAAGCAGUUCAUGGUAUUUGGAAGAAGGAAAUACCACGAACCUCGAGGACUACCGCAAAGGUUACUAAUAUCCUAAAGGUACGGGCAACACUAUCAGCACGAGGUAAGUAGAGUGAAUCUUGGGUCAAGAACCCAGGAGUAGAAUACCUACUACUAAAUGGCAUCACGGGAUGCUUUCGAGAAUGGUGUCCAGAAUCAUCACACCGGGAACACAAAACAUGGCUAGAUUACUAGGUGACUCCCUAAAACACCUAGGGUCAUAUUAAUAGCUCCAACAUAUAUGUUGAGGCAACAGAGUACCUCAACUCACUGAUUAGUGUGAUUAAUCUGGCCCAAAUGGAUAUCAGGAACAUGGAGUAAUGAUUGCAAGUGCAUCAGACUAUCUAGAAACCUGGGAUGACUCGGACAGCAUAACGGUUGUAAAUGCUCAAAAUGAUUUGAGACAUCCCGCAAAAUGGUGGCAUAACCACUUAACAUCACAAUAUCAAAGUUCCGAGAUCAACUGUCAACACACAGAAGUAGUAGAAACUGAACUAGGGCUUAAAUCCAACAAUCUUAUAAGUCUAUGAAUUAGUAACACGUCAUCCUGAUAGAUAGAUGAGAAGGCCUAGUUCUUAAUCCCCGUAGGAAAUAUAAGAUGACUCGGAUCAGAGGGCAUGAGGUAUAAGGAGUAAAAAGAGCCUUACGCUCCAUCCCACAAUCAAUUCCCCUACAUAUAACUAAAGCAUUUCUAGACCCAACUUCGACCAGUUUGGCUUGGUAAUCCUACAGGCAGUCAGGCUCUGAUACCAAAGCUGUCAGUACCCCGAUCCUAAGUCACACCGAUCUAGCAUGUAACACCUCAUAUCACUUUGCGGCCUCACGCACGGUAUUCCCACGGGUCUCGCCUUACCAUGGCCCGGGACCGUUUGCGCCUUUUGGCUCACGUAUAUGAUAGUGUCGCUAGCAUCCAUAUGACAGAGAACCCAGGCCGACAUGACUAGUCGUGAACCCAAAGUGGCACUAACUUAUGGGGACAGGCAUACAUGAAACAACAUCGAGCAUGUCGGUCAGCAGCGUGUGAAUCGGGCUGUAGCAACUGGGCUAACAGGACUCCGGGAACCCGGGCUGUAGCAGGCUAGCAGGACUCCGGAUGUCACCGCCUGACAUUUCCCCGAAGGGACAGACACAGGAACGAAGUGAAUCACAUGCCGGCUAGUCUAAGUGUUUCGGAGCAGUAGUGCUGGGCUAGCAGGACUCCGGUAAACCGGGCUAUAGCGGAGUACCAAGGCUCAGUGGAAGCACCAUACUACAUUUCCCCAUAAGAGAGGCUACCAAGGAUAAACAACUAGAUUGUCGGAUCCCACACAUACCAAGCAUUCCAAUAACAUACAUACAAGAUGCUCGAUAUGUGCAAAUACAACAUGGCAUCACAACAAAACUCUACGACUCCAAGUAUUUAUUCAGUAGGCUCCGAGGAGCGAGAUAUUACAAACAUGGGUCUCAUGACCCAACAUUCAGAGCAUACAAGUCAAAGCACAUGCGGAAGCUUAACAUGUCUGAGUACAGACAUCUACAAAUGAAAAAGGCUGAGAAGCCUGACUAUCUACCAGAUCUUGCCGAGGGCACAAGAUCGUAGCUGAGGUAUCAAGCUAAACGUGGAAGUCCACACGGAACUACUAGCGAGACUGAAGUCUCUCUGCAAAAACAUAAAUUAAGCAAACGUGAGUACAAAUGUACCCAGCAAGACUUACAUAAGAACUAACUACAUAUGCAUCAUUAUCAACAAAGGGGUGGUAGAGUUUAACUGGAGCAAGCCAUCUUUGACUCGGUGGCUAUCCUAAACUACGACUGCAAGUAACUCCUUUGAGGUGGCGCACACAAGUCCACAUAUUCACCAUAUCAAUACACCACUAUGGAUCCGCUCCCAUCUCCCUACGAGAACGCCAUCCAUAGCACUCACGCUUAUCUUGCGCAUUUUAGAGUAUCCACUUUCACUUGUCUAUGAACUAUACAGGCAACCUAGAGGUCCUUUACCGCGGACGCUUCUAUUCGAAUAGAUGAUGUUAACCCUGCAGGGGUGUACUUUUUCACACACGCUCUCACCACUUACCGUUGUUUACAUGACAUGUACUCGGCAACCUUCAAGCGGAAGCCCAACAAGGGUGUCGGCCACGGCCUACCUAAACACUCAAGUCUCUAGUCCAGGUUUAUCGCCUAUUCGGGUUCCAUCCGCCGGGAGUCCGGCCGAGGUUUCCACAUACGGCCCCGAAUGAUGUGUACAGGGUUCCGCGACACCACACAGGCGCCUGGCAUACCCGGCCACGUGCCUACUGCAUCACAGCCCACCCCUCGGGUCAGCGCUGCACACGGCCUCCAGCAUACUACAAACACCAGAAACUACUUGCAACUCCUAGACAGAGGACAAGGGUGGUUAAGAAGCCAAGAGAGUCAAUUAAGGAUCCCAAUGUGUGGUAGUAGCUGUUCAUGGAUCACUAACACAUAACUCAGUUCCCGAGGACGGUUUCAAUGAGACAACCCACCAUGUACUCCUACAUGGCCUCUCAUCGAUACCUUUACCAAAUCGUGUUCACACACUUAGCUCUCAACAGUAGGACAUGUUCACACACCUCCAAUUCAUCCCCGAUGAAUCAGACCUGACUCAACUCUAAGCAGUAGCAGGCAUGACAAACAAGCAUGAAUGAGUAGGCACAUCAGGGCUCAAACAACUCCUACUCAUGCUAGUGGGUUUCAUCUAUUUACUGUGGCAAUGACAGGUCAUGCAGAGGAAAAGGGGUUCAACUACCGCAGCAUGUAACAGUUGAAUCGUUGUUGUCCUAAUGCAGUAAAAGAGAGCAGGAGCGAGAGAGUGGGAUUGUAUCGGAAUGAACAAGGGGGUUUUGCUUGCCUGGCACAUCUGAAGAUAGUAUAGCUCUUCAUCAGUGUCAUCGAUCACGUCGCCAGAAACAUCGUCUACUAAGGGGAACAACCACCGACAAACACGAAAGGAACCACAAUCAAUGUAAUGCACAUUCAUAUGAAUGAUAUGUCAUAUUGAGGUAUUGAAUUGACCUAGUGCCAUAGUUCGUCAUAUUCAUUGAAGUGGAAUUCAAACCUAUAGCAAAUUCCAACUCCAAAACUAAUUACCAUUUAUUCCAUAAUCAUGAAUUGUCCUAUUCAGUGAGGUUAACUUGUUCAAACAUGCAUGAAAAUGGAAUAUUCAGAUUCUUUGGAUUUUUCUGAUCAUUUUUCAUAUAUAAAUUAUUUGAUUUGGAGCUACGAUUGAUUUUCUAUGAAUUUUAGAAGUUUUGGAUAUUUUCUGAAAUAAAUAAAUCAUUUCUGGUUUAUUUAAAAUUCCAGAAAACCUUUACUGCGUCAGCGUGACCGUGGUAUGACGUCAGCAGGUCAACCGGGGUUGACCAAGGUCAAACCUGAUGUUCGGGACCCACAUGUCCGCUGCACAGUGAUUUAACAGAGUUUAAUUGACCUAAUUAAAUAGUUAGUCGGGUUAAUUAAACAGUAGGGCCACUGACAUGCGUGGGUUAGCAGGGUGGUUAGGCCCUAAUGACCGGGCAGGACGGCGGUUAACCGUCGGUGGCCACUGGGCACGGCGGAGACGCGCCAAAAGGCCAAGGGAGCGGCGGGGAAGGGCACCGGGGUGUAGCCCACGGUCGGGCGAAUCCAAAGGAGGCCACAGGAGGGCGCGGGGAGGCUUGAGAUUGCCGGAAGCGAGCUCGCGGCAGCGGCCGGAGUGCGGCCUCGAGUGGCGCCAGGCUGUGGGGCACGGGGAGGCCGGAUGUGGUGUGCUACGGCCUCCUGGGUUCACCUAGAGCUCGUCUACGAGCUCGGACAUGAUGGCGCUAAGCAGAAUGAUGCGGCGAAGAGGUGCGGCGGCGGCGAGCCUCGGCCAUGGCGGGGGAUGGGGCUAGAGCAUGCGAACGCGAGGGGGAGAAGAGGGGUUCGGGGUAGGGGCUCACAGCGAGUCCAAUGAGCGCGAGAGCGAGGUCGGGGACGGCCGGGUUGCUGCGGAUCGACGGAAUCGAGCACUGGUGCCGAAGCUUGAAGAUGAUGGCAGGGACGGCAAUGCGGGGCAUCCGGCGAUGCUUGGCUUGGCGAGGAAGUCGACGACGUCGAGGCGGAUCCUUUGGACACGGCGGAUGCUCGAGGGACGGGCGGUGAGUGCGGUGGCAGUGUGCGGCGGCGAUGGAUGCGUUCGGGUCCGAGGUGCGGAGCGAGAGGGAGAGCGGCAGGGAAGGGGAUGAGCACGGGAGGGAGUCGAGAGGGCCUGAGGGGGUAUGUGGCAUCCGUAUCGGCGUCGGGGAGGCAACAGGCAGGCAGGAGGUGGCGCUGCGCGUGUGUACGCGCCGCGGGCACACGCCCCUAUCCUACUGUCCCGAGGAGGAAGACGACAGAGAGGGCGCUGGUGGGCUGGGCCGGCCGGUUACAGUGCUGGGCCAAGGUAAGUGGCCAGGUACUAUCUCUCUCUCUUUUUCUUUUUUUUCUUUUUCUAUUUUUCUGUAACUUCUGGGCUUUAUUAAAAAUACUAGAACGUUUCUAAAAAUCCUGAAAAUAAUUGUGGGCUCUGUUUGGAUUAUUCCUAACAGCCCUCACUUAAGUUCAGAAUUAAUUGAGCACUUAAAAUAAUAUAUAGCAUUUAAAUGCCCAAUUGCAAAUACUGUAUGAGUUCAUUCAAAAAUCCAAAUUGAUCUAGAAAAAUGUGCACCA
rnacentral:lncRNA from 1 species